rnacentral:lncRNA from 7 species
GGCUUUUCUCUUUGACAGCCAAACAAAAGUUGCAGCAGAGCACUCUCUUUCCCCACUUGUCACUUUUACUGUCUAAAUUACAAAUGCCUCUGCAAUGUGAUGCCUUCGCACAGACCCUGUUGUGAGCUGUGAGCAUUAUUUAAAACUCUGGUGAAGCUUUCUCGCUUGGCACAAGGAGUCUCCUGAUGGAUGUUGCAAGAGCUCUGUUCAUUUGGAGUUUUUAAGCACUUCCAGCAAAGCAGCUCAGUCACUUUUGCCAAUGAUACAGGGUACCCCAUCUGUGCCAAUCUCAUUUGUCUAAUUUAGAUCAAUCCAGUUAACUAGUAUUACUCACUGUCACGCCUGCAAGAGAUUUCCCUGGUUCUUCAGCUGCAUCAGAGCACUGAGCAGGAGGACACCCAGUGGCACACCAGGGUUUUCAGCAUCACAUCGAAGAAUAAGCAGGUCUACAUUCAUCAGCAUCAGGGUCAUUAUUAAUUAUUAAUGGUGCUAAUUCACAGCCAAGAAAUCCCUGAUUUGUGUUGGCAGGCCGCUCAGCGCUGUGAUAUUAUGAGCCUACAUGUAAGCGCAGUGCCCAUCACUCAUCAGGCUGUUGGGAAGGGAAGCUGAGGAGCACUAACAGGGCUGUCUAACCUCACUGCUUGGAAACUUCACCACUCCUAAUGUCUUCUCUUUUGUGACAAUAAAAUGGCUGUAGGCAUUAAAUAUGUAUAAAGUUUAUAUAUAUACAUUACCGAUAGAGCAUAAACACGUUAUUUUUAUUUCAUUUAUUAAAUCUUAAUGCUUUUUAAAAUUAUUCUUUCCCCGUACAGUCAGGUUACAGAGCAGAUCUGUUAGGACAGUUUAGAAGGAUUUUUGUCAUGGAUUUAGACAAAUUGCUGCUUUUCACUACAGCUGCAAUUUAGAUGCCUGAAGCAAUGAACCCCUCUCUGCUCCCAACACACACCUGCCUACCGAGAGAGGUUAAAUCACUUCCUUGUAAUGCCAGCUUUGUAUUUUUAAGCUGAUGCCUUUGAUCACCUUCAGCAUUUGAAGACUGUCAUGACUAGCAAUUACAGUGAAAUCUGUAUAAGUCUGAAGCAGACCUAUUAAAAAAAAAGACCACAGGCAAAACUCGGUCAGGUUUCUGCUGAGCUCCAUGCUCCACACUGCCUUUCACCUCUCGAGAUGUAGACGUGGCCAGCAGACAUGGCACCAGUACCAUUCACUCCUGCCCUCCUCAGCAGCCUGCAGCAUGCAUGCCAGCCCUGGUGGCACCUCCUCUUCAGCAUCACCCUGUCUGAGAGUCAGCCAAGAGGAAAAAAUCUUGGUGCUGGAUGGCAAGCCUGAACUCCUAUGCUAGAACAAGAGUCCAAUGGUGACUGUGUGGGAGGAAGGUGCCUAUGUUUUGCAGUGCGCUAGAUGGUCCACACGAAAGCAUUAUCGACAGGGAGGAAGGAACUCUGUUAAGCAAGGCAGAAACUGAUGGGUGUGAAAAAGACUAAUAAGGUGUGUGGGGAAUAAACAGUUCAUAUCAUAUUACAAAGUCUGGCCUAUAAACACACUAUGAGCUACUCUUCUGCUAAAAACUGUGAGUAAAGAGAUGUGGUUUCUUUUGUCUU